UACGAAGGGGGCUAGCGUUGCUCGGAAUCACUGGGCGUAAAGCGCACGUAGGCGGAUUGUUAAGUCAGGGGUGAAAUCCUGGAGCUCAACUCCAGAACUGCCUUUGAUACUGGCGAUCUUGAGUCCGGGAGAGGUGAGUGGAACUGCGAGUGUAGAGGUGAAAUUCGUAGAUAUUCGCAAGAACACCAGUGGCGAAGGCGGCUCACUGGCCCGGUACUGACGCUGAGACGCGAAAGCGUGGGGAGCAAACAGG
rnacentral:rRNA from 1 species